UUAUUUGCAUCUUGAAAAAUUGCUCCACUAUAUCUUGUUUUUUCUUAUGCUUUUCUUCAUAUUCUUGUAAGGAUCCCAUUAAUUGAUCAGUUGACAUCUCCUACAAAUUUUUAGUUUCUUCAAUUGUUAUGACAAUAUGCUUGAAUUUGGAAGUUAAUGACCGGAGUAUCUUCUCAAUAAUUCUAACAUCUUCCAAUUUUUCACCAUUUCUUUUCAUUUGAUUUGAAACCACCAAAACUCUUGAAAAAUAGUCAGAAAUGGACUCCCCUUCUUCCAUAUGUAAAGACUCAAAUUCUCCUCUUAAUGUUUGGAGACGUACCUCUUUACUUGCUCAGCACCUUUGCAAGAUGUUUGGAGUUUCUCCCACGCUUCCUUAGCAGUGGUUGCACUUGAGAUCUUCUCGAACCCAAUUUCAUCCAAUGCUUGGUAGAUGAGGUAGAGAGCUUUCUUGUCUCUCUUUCUUGAAUCCUUCACACCAUCCUUUUGAGUUUGGGAUAAUGUAGAUUCAUCUAGGGGUUCAUUGUAGCCUUUCUCUUCAAUAUCCCAAACAUCAUGUGCACCUAUGAGAGCCUUCAUCUUGAUACUCCAAUUAUCAUAGUUGCUCUUGUUGAGCAUAGGAAUUUGGAAGGAUGCAACACCAUUUGCCAUGAUUUUAGAAAUUUUUGGUUAGAAUCUUGUGGCUCUAAUACCACUUUGUUGGAAGAGGAUUGCUAUAAAUAUUUGGAGGGAGGCUUUUAGGCUAAGGGAAUUUUGGAACAGUAGAAAGAUUUUGGGGAAGAGAAACUUUUAUUACUCAAACUUAUUUUUGAUUUUUU
rnacentral:lncRNA from 1 species